rnacentral:rRNA from 1 species
UGCGGGGGGGGCAAGCGUUGUUCGGAAUUACUGGGCGUAAAGGGCUCGUAGGCGGCCAACUAAGUCAGACGUGAAAUCCCUCGGCUUAACCGGGGAACUGCGUCUGAUACUGGAUGGCUUGAGAUUGGGAGAGGGAUGCGGAAUUCCAGGUGUAGCGGUGAAAUGCGUAGAUAUCUGGAGGAACACCGGUGGCGAAGGCGGCAUCCUGGACCAACACGUGACGCUGAGGAGCGAAAAGCCAGGGGAGCAAACGGG